rnacentral:rRNA from 1 species
UCCGCCUAAAGAAAAGCUCGCGGCUGAUUAGCUAGUUGGUAAGGUAAUGGCUUACCAAGGCGACGAUCAGUAUCUGGUUUGAGAGGACGAUCAGACACACUGGAACUGAGACACGGUCCAGACUCCUACGGGAGGCAGCAGUGGGGAAUUUUCCGCAAUGGGCGAAAGCCUGACGGAGCAAUACCGCGUGAGGGAAGACAGCCUACUGGGUUGUAAACCUCUUUUUUCAGGGAGGAAAAAAAUGACGUGUACCUGAAGAAUAAGCAUCGGCUAACUCCGUGCCAGCAGCCGCGGUAAGACGGAGGAUGCAAGUGUUAUCCGGAAUUACUGGGCGUAAAGCGUGUAGGUUGUUUAAUAAGUCAACUGUUAAAUCUUGAGGCUUAACUUCAAACAGCAGUCGAAACUAUUAGACUAGAGUAUAGUAGGGGUAAAGGGAAUUCCAGUGGAGCGGUGAAAUGCGUAGAUAUUGGAAAGAACACCCGAUGGGAAAGCACU